rnacentral:rRNA from 1 species
AUGGAGAGGGAUGCAACAUCGAUGGUCACACGUCGUGCUUGGGCUUGUAACAGCGGUUGGUGUUUUUGGCGGGAUGUGCACCGGGCCCCCAUGGUUGGAGGCAACGGUGGUCCGCCAUUGGAUCAAGCCCCUCUCUCCCCCUAUCAAGGUUGUGAAAAAAUGAGAGAGAGAGAGAGAGAGAGGGGAUGGGGACCAAUGAAGAAGACGAGGAAGGGAGAAGAUAAGGCUGCAACGGAGAGUGGUGAGCAGGUUCCACACAUUACGCGUCUUAUGCAGAUCAAGUUCAUGACUUACAACGUCUGGUGCCGCGAAGACGUUGUCGUCCACAAGAGGAUGAAGGCCAUCGGCGAACAUGUUCGGAAACAUUCGCCGGACGUAAUUUUCUUCCAGGAGGUCACGCCGUACAUCCACUCGAUCUUUGAGAGCUUCGCAUGGUGGAAAUCCUAUCACUGUUCACCGGUGCCCCCGGAAGAUCAAACGGGGAACCGCCACUUCUGCUUGAUGAUGAGCAAGCUUCGUCUGCAGGGCUACGCGCGCUGGAAGUUCGGCACUUCGCCUACGGGAAAGUGCUACCUGGAGGCAGACAUUACGCCUGGACCGGCUUCUUCAACGCAGCCAAUCCGCAUAGCCACCACCCAGCUCGAAUGCCCAGUACCGCCUGAAUCGAUGCACCUCCGGGAGCGCUACAUGCAGGCAAAGCAUGCGGUCUCAGCGCUGAGUAGCGCUGACAACGUUGUGUUCGGCGGCGACAUGAGCUGGGAUGAUGAUGCCGACUUGCCGUUCCCCCUCCACAAUGGCUGGUUCGACGCCUGGGCAAAACUGACAUGUGGAACUGACAGUUACAGCGGUUGGACUUGUGAUAGUUUCUGGGUGGAAAAGCUCGGGGAGUUCAAUGGCCACAUAGUACAUGAACCAUGGACGAAGAAGCGGUCAGACCGAUUUUUGUGCAAGCUGCAAGACUACACGCUGAAGACAAUCCAAUUGAUCGAUGGGGGUCAGGGUUUUGGAGGUUUUGGACCUGUUCAUGGUAUUCGUUAUACGAACUACAGGACAUGCAUCAUCUCAGACGUGGCGCUAAGGCAGAGUUGUCACCGCGGGUUGGUCCUGACAAUCGUCCCCAAAUAA